rnacentral:rRNA from 1 species
AUUGAACGCUGGCGGCAGGCCUAACACAUGCAAGUCGAGCGAGCGGCGGACGGGUGAGGAAUGUCUGGGAAACCGCCUGAUGGAGGGGGAGAACUACUGGAAACGGUAGCUAAUACCGCAUACCAUCAGAUGGGCCCAGAUGGGAUUCGCUAGUGGGUGGGGUAAUGGCUCACCUAGGCGACGACCCCUAGCUGGUCUGAGAGGAUGAACGGCCACACUGGAACUGAGACACGGUCCAGACUCCUACGGGAGGCAGCAGUGGGGAAUAUUGCACAAUGGGCGCAAGCCUGAUGCAGCCAUGCCGCGUGUAUGAAGAAGGCCCUAGGGUUGUAAAGUACUUUCAGUCGGGAGGCGUUACCGGCAGAAGAAGCACCGGCUAACUCCGUGCCAGCAGCCGCGGUAAUUC